UACGUAGGGCGCAAGCGUUGUCCGGAAUUAUUGGGCGUAAAGAGCUCGUAGGCGGUUUGUCGCGUCUGGUGUGAAAACUCGAGGCUCAACCUCGAGCUUGCAUCGGGUACGGGCAGACUAGAGUGCGGUAGGGGAGACUGGAAUUCCUGGUGUAGCGGUGGAAUGCGCAGAUAUCAGGAGGAACACCGAUGGCGAAGGCAGGUCUCUGGGCCGCAACUGACGCUGAGGAGCGAAAGCAUGGGGAGCGAACAGGAUUAGAUACCCUGGUAGUCCAUGCCGUAAACGUUGGGCACUAGGUGUGGGGCUCAUUCCACGAGUUCCGUGCCGCAGCAAACGCAUUAAGUGCCCCGCCUGGGGAGUACGGCCGCAAGGCUAAA
rnacentral:rRNA from 1 species